rnacentral:rRNA from 1 species
GACGAACGCUGGCGGCGUGCUCAACACAUGCAAGUCGAACGGAAAGGCCCUGCUUUUGUGGGGUGCUCGAGUGGCGAACGGGUGAGUAACACGUGAGUAACCUGCCCUUGACUUCGGGAUAACUUCAGGAAACUGGGGCUAAUACCGGAUAGGAGCUCCUGCUGCAUGGUGGGGGUUGGAUAGUUUCGGCGGUUGGGGAUGGACUCGCGGCUUCUCAGCUUGUUGGUGGGGUAGUGGCUUACCCAGGCUUUGACGGGUAGCCGGCCUGAGAGGGUGAACGGCCACAUUGGAACUGAUGUACGGCCCAGCCUCCUACGGGAGGCAGCAGUGGGGAAUAUUGCACAAUGGGCGGAAGCCUGAUGCAGCAACGCCGCGUGCUGGAUGACGGCCUUCGGGUUGUAAACCGCUUUCGCCUGUGACGAAGCGUGAGUGACGGUAAUGGGUAAAGAAGCACCGGCUAACUACGUG